GAAUUAUUUUUUUUUUGCUUUUUCAUGCCAAUGUUAUGUCAUAACCUAUAAAAUAACAUAAAAUGUAUGAAAAGUAACUAAGAAACAUAGGUUUAAGCAACUAAUUCAAGUAAUAGAUACCGGAUAAGUAGGUAUAAAACCUACUUAUCAAAUACCCCCAAACUUAAACCGUUGCUUGUCCUCAAGCAAAAACAUAAAACAACAAUGCUAUAUAAUGCACUAAUCUACAUGCCUAUGAAUCCAACAGUAAUGACAGAAACAAGUCUAAUCAACUGGCCUUAGAG
rnacentral:lncRNA from 1 species